rnacentral:rRNA from 1 species
AGGAUGAACGCUGGCGGCGUGCUUAACACAUGCAAGUCGAACGGAAAGGCCCGCUUGCGGGUACUCGAGUGGCGAACGGGUGAGUAACACGUGGGCAACCUGCCCUCAGCUCUGGGAUAACUCCGGGAAACCGGUGCUAAUACUGGAUAUCGACUUCUGCCUCGCAUGGGGUGUUGUUGAAAGUUUUUCGGCUGGGGAUGGGCCCGCGGCCUAUCAGCUUGUUGGUGGGGUGAUGGCCUACCAAGGCGACGACGGGUA